rnacentral:rRNA from 1 species
CCUACGGGGUGCAGCAGUGGGGAAUAUUGCACAAUGGGGGAAACCCUGAUGCAGCGACGCCGCGUGAGUGAAGAAGUAAUUCGUUAUGUAAAGCUCUAUCAGCAGGGAAGAAAAUGACGGUACCUGAGUAAGAAGCCCCGGCUAACUACGUGCCAGCAGCCGCGGUAAUACGUAGGGGGCAAGCGUUAUCCGGAUUUACUGGGUGGAAAGGGAGCGUAGACGGCAGUGCAAGUCUGGAGUGAAAGGCGGGGGCUCAACCCCCGGACUGCUCUGGAAACUGUACGGCUGGAGUGCAGGAGAGGUAAGUGGAAUUCCUGGUGUAGCGGUGAAAUGCGUAGAUAUUAGGAGGAACACCAGUGGCGAAGGCGGCUUACUGGACUGUAACUGACGUUGAGGCUCGAAAGCGUGGGGAGCAAACAGGAUUAGAUACCCCUGUAGUC